rnacentral:lncRNA from 1 species
AACCCAUUUGUCGCCCUAGGCAGUCGCCUAGUUCGCCUAUAGCAAUCGCCGGCCCUGGGUGUACCUUUAGCUUCCCCUAUCACCUUUACAGCCAUAUAUUUCUCUUGUUGCGUAGUUACAGGGUGCGGUCAAGGGGAGUGGUGCGAUCAGAGCAGGUUAAAUUGGUCAUAGGUGGCUGCUAGCGUCAGUUAGUAAACGCACAGCUUAGACGAGUGUUAUACCGCUGGUCGUCAUGGAUUUUGAUUUGUCAAGUGCUGUGGACAAGGAGGAGAAGAUUAAGAAAGAGAAGGGGCAUGUAGAUGAGGGGUUGUUUGGGUUCGGAAAAAAGAAGGACACGGACAAGGACAAAAACAAAGACAAAGGCAAGGGCAAGGACAAGGACAAGCAUAAGAGUGAACAUAAGGAUACGGAUAAGGAUAAAGACAAGCACAAAGUGAAGAGUGGUGACAAGGAGAAGAGCAAAGAGCAUAAGAAAAAGAAGGAUAAACAUCAUGAAAAGAAGGAUGGCCACGGCUCUUCAUCAUCUUCAUCAUCCUCUUCUUCCUCUUCUAGCAGUAAUGAGGAUUAGCACAAGAUGGACAUUGCAAUCCUAAGAGGGCAGCAUGGGGAAGGAGACCUGAGAUUGUGUAUAUAGUCAUAAAUUAACUUGCUAAUUAUAUGAAAUGUCAUUGUCACAUCCCAUAACCACCACUUAUGACCUUAUCCUUGGACUUGAUCCUUGGACUCCUCAGAGUUGAACAUGUGUGAACAUGCUAUUGAACAUGUGUGAGUUAGUCUGACUGUGAAAAUAAAAAUUGCAUUAAUAAAAUGCUCUCUACA